GUGAGGAAUAUUGCGCAAUGGAGGCAACUCUGACGCAGCCAUGCCGCGUGCAGGAAGAAGGCGCUACGCGUUGUAAACUGCUUUUAACCGGGAAGAAACCCCAGGACGUGUCCUGGGUUGACGGUACCGGAGGAAUAAGCACCGGCUAACUUCGUGCCAGCAGCCGCGGUAAUACGAAGGGUGCAAGCGUUAUCCGGAUUCAUUGGGUUUAAAGGGUGCGUAGGCGGAGCGUUAAGUCUGUGGUGAAAUCCUGCAGCUUAACUGUAGACUUGCAAUUGAUACUGGCGCUCUUGAGUGCGCUUGAAGUGGACGGAAUGUGCCGUGUAGCGGUGAAAUGCUUAGAUAUGGCACAGAACACCAAUUGCGAAGGCAGCUCACUAAGGCGAUACUGACGCUGAGGCACGAAAGCGUGGGGAUCGAACAGGAUUAGAUACCCUAGUAGUCC
rnacentral:rRNA from 1 species